AGCGGGAUAGGGCAGCCAGGAGUGCCCGAUGGGCUCAUAACCCAUGGUCGGAAGUUCAAAUCUUCCUCCCGCUA
rnacentral:tRNA from 1 species